rnacentral:rRNA from 1 species
UACGUAGGGUGCGAGCGUUAAUCGGAAUUACUGGGCGUAAAGCGUGCGCAGGCGGUUUUGUAAGCCAGAUGUGAAAUCCCCGGGCUUAACCUGGGAAUGGCAUUUGGGACUGCAAGGCUGGAGUGCGGCAGAGGAGACUGGAAUUCCUGGUGUAGCAGUGAAAUGCGUAGAUAUCAGGAGGAACACCGGUGGCGAAGGCGGU